UUAAAUUCUGGUAGAAAUACGGCAGCAGAUGUGCUUGAUUACCAUCAUCAAAAAUUCCAAGACCACAUAAGUAAAAGAUAUAUAUACCAUUUCCUUAAAUGAACAUAUUCAUUGAUGUAACAGAUCAUAGCACAUGCUUUACUCUUGGAAAAACAUUCAUUCAACCAACCGCAAAUACCUUCAGAGUUCACAUAAAUUACAAACUUAUACCACUAUUUUUAUAUACAAAUAUUUGAUAAUAUUAAUAUAAAGAAUCACAGAAGAUUAAUUUUUCUCAACUUCAAGAAUUUUCUACUAUAGGAGAAACUGAUAUACAAUAUCCAUGUGAGCUUACAUACUAUAUGCAACCCCUUUACGGAAAAAAUCAGUGAAAUUGUCAGAAAAUUCUCUACACAUACAUUCGUGAAACAGUUCUAUAUAAACUGAAUAAUACUGCAAAGCAAGCUUUACCUAUUUUUCUUCUGCUUUAAUAAGAGCAAUUGCACAAAUUUAAAUCAGGCAAUGUCAGAACAGGAAUGUAAUGAUGAGAACUGCAGUCAUGUUAAGCAUUUAAGAGAAAUCCAAAGACCUAGUAUCCAGACUGAACAUCUCACUCAGUACCAUGUACUUCUGUUUCUGAAGCCCUUUCUGUUUGCAGGGUGUCUGGAGGGGCAAACUGUGUAUAACAUCUGAGUUUAUCAGUAGUAAUGAUUCACAACAUUACAGAAGAAAUAGAUUUUCUGUUUUGUCCUCACUUUUUUUCAUCAGUGUGAAAGAACUUCUCAUAUAUAGGUGUCCUUUGCCCUGAAGGCACAUAUCCCCUGUCCAGUUUCUACAAAUACAACCCUUUUCUUGCAGGAAUCAGAAUAACAUUUCCUGAGGUGAAAUUCAAUUGCAAGGCUGUGGAAGGACAUUCAGCUCCCUGGCACAUUAUCACAAAUUCAUCAGUAAGAUCAAGGGGAAUUCAGCAAGGAGUGUAUAACUACUGCUGAACUCCAACGAUGUCCAGAUCUCUCAGACAAAAGGAGUAAGAAAACUGUGAUGCAAGACACUGAUGACCUUUACCGUGUGUCAGAUGUAAGAGAGUUACUUUUGUCUGAUCUUUUUUCCUUUGAUAGGUAGCUGUUGCCCUUUCUUGCCAGAACAAUGUACAGGGAAGUCCAUGAAGACAUAACUGUGCACAGAACAUUGCCUGGCCCAUUGCCUAAAGGGAAAUUCUAAAUGGGAAAACAAUUGCAGUGUCAAAUAAUAUAUGUUAACCCACCCUCUUAAUUAGUCUCUGCUCCUUAAUGUAUUCAUUAUCUGGAUUUCUUCCCUAGUUUGUCUUUGUACUCAUGCUACCUUUUUUUUUAAUUUUCUGAGUGAAAAUUAGACAAUAUAGACUCUUAGAAAAAAAAUAGGAAACUGUCAGUAAAAAAGAUGCUCUUGUUCCAUAUCUUGACUGUUCUGAAAAUAAAAAUAAUAACAUACAUGAAAAAAAUUCACAGGUGAAUAGAAUUACAAUUCUCUGCUUUAAUUGAAAUGCCCCUAUGAAAUCCAUGUUAAUAAUAAUAAUAAAAAUAUAGUUUAAAAUUCUUAUCAUUAUACAGUUCAAAAACAUCCACAAUUUUAUUUAUUGGCUGCUAACACUACCUGGACAGAGGGCAGUGUUAUUGCAAACCCUUGAUUCUCUUAAAGGGCCGCUGCAGUGUGUCCCGUAAGGUGAUACACAAGUUCUGGUUCGCACCUGCGACCCUUGACCACAAGUAACUGAACACGUACUCCACUGGGCCCACUCUUCAACACCAGAUUCACCUGUAUUCAAGACAACAAACAAACAUGAAUAUAGACAUAAGUAUUAGUGACACGGGUUGUUUGUUUUUUGGUUUGUUUUUGAUUUUUUUUUUUUUUUUGCUGAAGCUCAUUAUCGUCUGCUCUUAUAAAUCAAAGAAAAAGGUACCACACCAAAAUAAAUAUUUAAAGGUUUAUGGAGUAAAGCAGCUGUGAAGAUGUGCAAUGAAUAGAAAACAAGGACACCUAUGAUGCUGCAAUCACAUAACGCCUGUCAGAGGGGAACACUUUGAUGUCUUAGCAUCAUUUACAACUCUAUGAGAACUACUGCCCUUCAACACUUCAGAAACAACACUACCUCAGGAUUCUGUUAAGUACAUAGAUAACUCUUUUUACAUAAUAGCAAAGGAUUUGUCUUUGAUAUUUAUACUUAUCCCUCUAGAAUUAAGGCUCAGUAACAGUUUAAGGAGCCCUACCAGUAAGGGAAUUCCAGGGAAGAAAACCCCAGACAAACCAGCCCCUAAUGUCUUACAUUUUCUUCAGCAGAGUUAUAUAGCAUUUGAAUGAAGUUCCCUGACAAAGCAAAACAUUUUGUUUACUGAAAUUUAACCUGAAAUGUGGGAUGGAAACUUUGAUAAUGUGCUGCAUAAAUUUACUUCUCGCUUUUGACCUACAGGUAUGCUGAAUUCUUGGGUGUGCCCGACCUCGUUACUGCACGUAACACAUGCUAUUAUGUUCAAAAUUGUCAAAUGUGAUUUAUUAAUACUGUAUAUUAGAAAAGGGGAAUUUUUUAAAAAAAUUUUUGAAAGCUAUAAUAAUUUUUUUUUGAAAGCAAGUAACACAUAAAGUUUUCUUGCAUGAGUGCUCUGUAAAGAAUGCUUGAAUUUAAUUCUCAUGAACAGCUAUACACAAAAUUCUGGAAUUCCUUUCCCAUAGGAAUUCCUGUUCAGAAAAAUAGAUCCCUUGAGUAUUCUCAGAAAGCAAAGGCAAAAAUAAUGUGAAUAUACUUCACUGAACAACUGGAGUAAAUAAUUUUUAAUUGAUAUUUAUCUUCUUCUGUUAAAAUUCAGCAUGUAAUGUAAAAUGGCAACUGAAACCCAUACUGCAUGCUUGACUUUUAAGUGUAAGUCCUUUUUGAAACAAUUAGUACUUUCUGUUUUAAAAUCAGUGGCAUGAUAAAAUCUGCACACUUGAAGAGCUUGCUUGGAAUUUCGGUUAUCUCAGUAUACUUCUACUCUUCCAAAAGUUCUGGUACUGAUCACAGUCUAGGGACUGUCUGCAAAGCAGGAAUAUUCUGGUUCUAUCUUCCAAGAAUGCACUGAAGUAUUUAACCAAAUGCCACAUGAGAACAAAAGCGGUACCAGGAAAUGCAAUGUACUGGCAUGGGUGAGACCUCAUUAAAAUUCAAGCUUCAUGAGAGAAGAAAAAAAAAGGGUCAAGUGCAUUUUUGUAAUGGGAUCAGAAAUGUCCACUUUCUGUGUGUAAGUACAAACAAUGUCAAAAUUGUUUCAUCUAAGAAGCUUAAGAGUAAUGCAUUUUUAUGAAACAUUUUUAAUAUAAUAUAUUACUUAAGUUUACAAUAAAUACUAAAUAGAAUGAGACUUUCCUUCAUUUUCAGAUCCUAGGUAAUAAACACAGAAGGCAAACCCAUUAUGCAGGUUUUUUUUCCCUCAAUACUUCACAGAGAGGGAGUAUCUAAAUGCUUUCUGGGCUGGGAAAGCAUUUUAACCCAAGUCAGCCUAGAGAAUGGCUAAAUGGCACAGAAAUUCCAAGGAUCUGUUUGUGUGGGAAAGGUAAGAACCAUCCUAAUGUAGGCACUAUCUGGCAGAGAGACAUCCUGCAAGGUCAAGUCAGUAUGAUUCAAGACCUGAUAUCUGGAUAUAAUAUUGGAUAUUUGAAUUGACAUUCUGAGUAAAUUAAUUUUUAUCAUUCUCACUCUUACCUAGUUCUUGCUGCUGAAAAUAAGUUUUCUAACCCAGAACAAGGUAUUUUUGUAGAUAUUAGUUUUUGAAGAGAAUUUUUUUUUGUGAUAUCUGUCCUAAAUUUUAUUCGGGUGAAACAGGACAAUUAUUCUCUGCUUUUAUCUCUAACAUUGUUAUUAAUCAUAUUGUUUCAUUAAAUACAGGGUGAAAGCAAAUCCCUUCAGCAACAAAUAGGUGCAUGAUCUAGUUCAGAAAUGGACAGUGUGACUCUAACUCAGGCCUGGAAACAUGCAAGGGUUUUAAGCCUUUUUAUUACAUUGUUAAUGCUAUAAUCUACACAGCAUGAAGAUAAAACCCAUAACUAUCUCAAAAUGUAAAUAAAAAUAGCAUUAUGGGGAACCUUGAAUCGUUUUAACCAGAUCAAGACUUAUAAUAAAUCAUAACACAGUCCAAACAUUUGUGGUAGAAAGCCUCAGGUUUAGUUAUCUGAUAAAAGAAUUUAUUCUGCUGUCAGUGGUCCUUUGGUGGCUAUGGAAGUACAAGGGAUCACUGCAACAGCAUGCUUAUUUUUUUGCUCCUUAGCUGCUCAUAAUGGAUAAUACUUAAAGCAUUUUAGUGAUGCAUAUAUUUUAAUAUGAAUGUCAUGUAUCAUUUGGUUAAGCAUUGGAACAGACUGCCCAGGGAGGUGGUGGAGCCACCAUCUCUGGAAGUGUUAAAAAAUGAUUGGACAUGGCACUUAGUGCUAUGGUUUAGUUGGCAUGGUGUUGUUUGGUCAAAAGUGAAUGAUCCUUGGAGGGCUUUUCCAACCUAAAUGAUAUCUGAUUCCAUGAUUUCAUUUUACAUAUAAGCUGAGGCAUGUAAUAUAGUUCCAUGCCUUCUUGGACAGAAUAAAAGAUUGCAAUUCCAAAGUUUACAGUUUGGUAUUAUUUACAGCUCUUAUCACUAGUAGUUCCAUUGACUUUACCUUUAUUGUUAAGUAUGUUAUGUUAUGUUAUGUUAUGUUAUGUUAUGUUAUGUUAUGUUAUGUUAUGGGAAUUUUUAUUCCUAUUGAGUAACCUUUUUAGUUUUUAGAGGAGAAGCUAAAAUCUUGCGGCCAGUGUAGGUGUGCGUUUUUAGAAGAGGAAAGAGGUGCCAUGUGCUCUCUGUAGGGAUAAAGAAGAAAAAAAUCUGUUAAAAUGUACAAAUGCAAACUAGGACAACUGAGAAAUACAAAAGAAAAAAUACCAGCUUUGCAAGGUUCUACUCAAAAUUAUUUGCUUUUUGACAAGUGGAUAUUCUUUAAAAUUAAGGUAAAUAUCAAACAUAUUUUAAGGCUGUUUUAUGAUAUUUGUAACAUAUAUAUUUUUUUUACAUAAAUAUCCUAGUCAUCAGAUGACAUUAUAAACCAUGUUGGUCUGGCUUUUAUGUCUAUUUUUUAUGACAUUUCAUGGGAACUUCGUGGGAUAAAUGUAUUGUGGUGUACCAUCUACUAUGAAUCAUGCUAUUUAUGGUAUAGGACACACUGGUAUUAAUAUAAAAAGCCUUUUCCAUCAUAGAAGUUGGUAAUGACAUCAUAAAUGAACUAAAAAAAAAAAACAAACGUAGUUCUGAGACCUCUAGAGUUACUCCCUUAGGACAUGUACAAUGUCAAGGAACUUCUGAGAGUUGUUAAGUGUCGUCGGCUUGUACAGAACCAAGUAGAGCAGUGUCCUGAAAGCUUUCAGAACCUUAAAAGCAAAACGAGGCAGUCAACUCCCCAAAGUGACUGUCAUUUUCUUUCACCCACAGUGCUCCAGAAGUGUGAUUCAUACUGCCCUACCCACUCCUGAACUGUAACUAGCCAAACAAGUGUUUUCAUUUACUCCUGACUACAGAAUGAACAGAAUGGGUCUUGCAGCCAGAAUGCGCAAUAAUGCAACGGUCUCACCUGCACCAGCAUGGCAUCCUCUCUGUGCUUGCACACACUUUUUUCCCAGAAAUUAUGCAAAAUGCUGAUGUAAGUCCCAGGUGAAGGGGGAGGAGGAGAGAGUGAAAGGAAGAAAGAAGACUACAGAAAUAUAUAAUGAAUCAGUCUGUUUAAAUCGAAUUUUGGGCUGCAAUAUUAACUAAUUUCAGUAGAUCUCAUGAUUUUCUGACUUCCCAGAGAAUGAAAAAGUUUUCUGCACAUUUUUUUUUAGCCCAUUUUAGAGGUUCUCCCACAAAGAUACACAGCAGUAGAAGUACUUGGGGUUUCUCAUCACAUUGGCAAGUGGUCAGUACAAUUUCUUCUGGUCACUAGAUGGCAGAAUGUGUGUUGACUUAGAAGCACAAUUUUGCAUAGACACAAGAAGCUGUGACUUUCUGUUUCAUUUUCACUAUAAAAUUAUCUCUCCUAUAUAUACAUAAUAAAUGUCACUAUAUUCAAAGGACUGAGGGGUUUUUGUUUUCUUCUUUAUUUUUGGUUAUUCUUUUGUAUGGCUGAAGAUUACUAAAACCCCAACAAAACACCCAAAACUAUUAAAACACAAACUGCAGGGCUUUUUUUCCUUGUUAGUUUUUUUUUUUUUGUCUGUUUUGUCUGUUUUUUUUUUUCCCUUACAGUAAGACAGAAGAAAAUCUGAGGAGCAUUCUCACUGUAGCAGAGUACCCAGGCCCCACAAGGAAGCAUUUGUUCUCUAAUGCUGCGUUGGCAGGACACAGAGCUUCAGGGCAUUAGUGAAUACCAUCACUCUGCAGUACAGAUUUAAGCUAUAGCUUUCUAUGGGAACCCCUUAAAAUGAUAUUUCCUCAUGAGGCAGGCAAGUUGCCAAAACGGUAACGUAACUAUUAGCUGAAUUAGAUUUCCAUGGGAACCUCUUCUUAGUGAAUGUGGAAAACGUUCUUAAAACAGCCUUUGCUUACUUCCUACGUAGAUCCUGGUCCCAUAAAAAGUCCCCUUUUGGCUCUCCAAAACAGUAUAGAAGAGCUUUGAUCAGUUUCAAACUGAAUGGAAUAAUUUCUUUCACGAGAGUGAAUUAAGAUCUGAACAGAGCUGUAUUCAUGAACACAGUGAGAAAAAUAUGCUAUUACUCAUGAAAACGCAGAAAGGAUUUUAUGAUAAUGGAAAUACAAAAAGCAAAAGCAUUUCUACUAACACAGUAUAUUUUUAAAAUUGUACUAAAUUAUUGCAUUUUAUCAAAUAAAAGACAGGUAAACAUUUCUAAGAAAUUAGAUACAAGAUUUCUUUUCUCUUGUAGACAGAUAUCCUAAUACAUAUACGUAUGCCUUCUUUCAUCUCUCAAAAAAUUAGGGAAAACAAUUAUGUAUUCUAAACAGUCAACAUAUUGUACAAAGGUAAUUAGUUUAUAUUCAUCUCUAGGGAGACCCAUUUACUGCUAGGACAUAACUUUGAAUUAAUACUACUGCUGGUAUUUUUAAUGACAUAAGAAAUGAAAUAUUACUGAAUUAAAAUAUAAAUGAUAGCACAAAUCCCAAAGAGCAAGACUCUCAUGGCAAUGCAAUCUGCUGUAUCUCUGUGCAUCUCUGCAGUGACUCUCUUGGCCAGCCAUUAUCUUUAGUGGGAUCUGUUUAUUUAUGGUUACCGAUUUGAUCAGUGAAGAAUAUCAUAAAGAUGUAAUAUUUCUUCACUUUCAUUGUGCAGAGAAUGUUGAAACCGUGCAAACGCUAUUACUUGCCUUCCUGGCCCCAAAUGCUCAUCACCAUACCUAGGCAGGAGAAACUGAGCAUAAAAAUCUAGUGAAGUGACUCAUACCUGUUCAAAAUAAAUGUAAAAUAUCACCAUAGCAGGUAGUGUGCUUUCACAUGGGCUUUGCAGAAUUAUAACUAAACGUUGAGGGAAAGGAGGGGUGGAUGGAAGCCCAAACUGUAGCUUCACCCCUUUUUAUAUCUACCAAAUCUGACAUUUAUAAUUAUGAUGGCCAGGUAGGCAGAAGAUGCUCUGUAGUUCACAUUUUUCCCAUUCAAAAACUUCCCUAGCAAUCCAUCCCAAAACGGUUGUGUUCAAAUAAAAUUAACAAUCCUGAUAAAAAGCACUUUAUAUUUCCAAGUUUAACAUUUAAAUCCUGUAAAUUCAGUAGUAUGUUAUUCUCUCAUAUUCCAUACUGUUCUCUCAAAAGAUUCAUGGAUGUAAUAACACAUUAUUACAUUCAUGGAUGUAAUAACACAUAAGAAUGAAAGCACAGGGGCUUACCUUUAUAAAUUUUUGCUUUUUAAAAUGAAACACUUUUAAUGCAUUCUCUUGUAGUAUUCUCAUCAUUUGAAUGUUUCUACUAUAAUAACUUAUUCAUGUGUAGCCUUUAAAAAUUUAAAUCAUGGUAUAAUAAUAAUUCUUCAGUAUCUUCAUUUCUUCUUUAUAUUUCAUACUAUUUUAUUUCUGCAUUAAAUAUUUUGGUUUUGCCAUAUAUUUAAUUAAUUGAAUUACUGAUAUGGUUAGCCAGUGGAGGAGUUAUUUCAGAAUGGCAUCAUUUUUAUAUAAACACUCUCUUUUCUGCAGCAAACUACGUGGUUAUUACACACAGGCUAGUAUGUGCCUCUUUAUUGUUCUGUACUAUUAAAAGUCAAGAGAUGAUGACUUAGAAUAAACUGUAAUUUCCUAAGCUGUUCUUGAAUUCAAUAAUUCUUAUUUUCUGUUCUAGAAAGACUGAAAAAUAAGUAAACUGUAGAAAGCAGGACUCACAAGGACAUCUAGACU